rnacentral:rRNA from 1 species
UUCCGGUUGAUCCUGCCGGAGGCUACCGCUAUUGGAGUUCGAUUAAGCCAUGCGAGUCGCGAGAAAUUAGAUUCUCGGCGUACCGCUCAGUAACACGUGGGUAACCUGCCCUAUGCUGGAUAAUAACCUCGGGAAACUGAGAAUAAUGAUCCAUAGUUCACUACGCCUGGAACGGUGAGUGGAUGAAAGCCCCGGCGGCAUAGGAUGGGCCUGCGGCGUAUCAGGUUGUAGGGGGUGUAACGUACCCUCUAGCCCUCUACGCGUACGGGUGUUGGGAGACAUAGCCCGGAGAUGGAUUCUGAGACACGAAUCCAGACCCUACGGGGUGCAGCAGGCGCGAAAACUUGGCAAUGCGAGAAAUCGUGACCAGGGAACUCCAAGUGCAUCGGGUAAGACCGGUGCUUUUCUUGACUCUAAAUAGGUCUUGGAAUAAGGGGUGGGUAAGGACGGUGCCAGCCGCCGCGGUAAUACCGGCGCCUCAAGUGGUAGUCGCUUUUAUUGGGCCUAAAACGUCCGUAGCCGGUCUGAUACAUUCGUGGGUAAAUCAACCAGCUCAACUGGUUGAAUUCUGCGAGGACGGUCAGACUUGGGACCGGGAGAGGUGUGGGGUACGCUCAGGGUAGGGGUAAAAUCCUGUCAUCCUGAGCGGACCACCUGUUGCGAAGGCGCCACACUAGAACGGAUCCGACGGUCAGGGACGAAGCCUAGGGGCACGAACCGGAUUAGAUACCCGGGUAGUCCUAGGUGUAAACGCUGUGGACUUGAUGUUGGGGGUGCUCCGAGCACUCUCAGUGUCGAAGCGAAGGUGAUAAGUCCACUGCCUGGGAAGUACGGUCGCAAGGCUGAAACUUAAAGGAAUUGGCGGGGGAGCACCGCAACCUGAGGAUUGUGCGGUUUAAUUGGAUUCAACGCCGGA